rnacentral:rRNA from 1 species
UACGGGGGGGGCAAGCGUUGUUCGGAAUUACUGGGCGUAAAGGGCUCGUAGGCGGCCAACUGAGUCAGACGUGAAAUCCCUCGGCUUAACCGGGGAAUUGCGUCUGAUACUGGAUGGCUUGAAUCCGGGAGAGGGAUGCGGAAUUCCAGGUGUAGCGGUGAAAUGCGUAGAUAUCUGGAGGAACACCGGUGGCGAAGGCGGCAUCCUGGACCGGCAUUGACGCUGAGGAGCGAAAGCCAGGGGAGCAAACGGG